UCACCUUGUUGAGAAUAUUACGCGAGUAGGCAGCUCUUGUGGUGCAUCACAAUCGUUUGAGAAGCGUCACAGUAGAGUAUUUUUCUACAUGCGGAGCGGUGUUUUUAUUUGCAGGUUUCCCUUCAGUAGGAAAUUGCUGGACAGGCGGACCAGCGCACCGGAAUUGUGUUGGCGAAGCCACAAGCAACUCAUAGAAUCUGUUUAAUUGUUGCACUUUGAACAAUCAUGCUUCUACAAAGGCCACAGCAGAAAAACAGCCUGAUGCCGAGUAUUUCUGUGCCACGAAGUAAUCAAGAGGCGAGUGCCUAAUGCGGACGAAAUCGAGUGCAUCGAGACUUAGAACGACAGAAAGCUGAGCUAGUUGAUAUGCAAUGGCAAGCCCUUCUGUGUGUUCCAAAGACAAUGCCUACGCCUAGCCACAGCAGCUCCCUCAUACAGACUCCGCAAGCCAAGAGGCCAUGGAGGCAAAUGCAGGCAGCCAGCACACCUCGAACAGCCACCUUGUCUGCGGGUGUGUCACCCUAGUCGCCAAGGAAACAUUUGAGGGAAAGCGACAGGCAAUGUGAACAGCCACUUCUCCAUGUAAACGAUACUCUUUCUCUCGGAUGACUCCUACGCCUCGCCUCGCCAGCACACUUGUGCACAAAGAUGCCGCGGAGGCAUGUGCAGGACAGAGGCAAGAAGCAGUGGUACUGGUGUCGACAUUCACCCAAUUUCUUUUUCUUACACUGAGGCAGCCAGCACACCUUGAAGAGCCACCUUGACUGCGGGUGUGUCAGUAGAUUCUUGUUGUACAUAUGCUCAUAAUAAACUUCAGUAAACUUGAA
rnacentral:lncRNA from 1 species